GAUGAACGCUGGCGGCGUGCCUAACACAUGCAAGUCGAACGGAGUCGUUUUGGAAAUCUCUUCGGAGAUGGAAUUCUCGACUUAGUGGCGGACGGGUGAGUAACGCGUGAGCAAUCUGCCUUUAAGAGGGGGAUAACAGUCGGAAACGGCUGCUAAUACCGCAUAAAGCAUUAAAUUCGCAUGUUUUUGAUGCCAAAGGAGCAAUCCGCUUUUAGAUGAGCUCGCGUCUGAUUAGCUAGUUGGCGGGGUAACGGCCCACCAAGGCGACGAUCAGUAGCCGGACUGAGAGGUUGAACGGCCACAUGGGGAAUGAGACACGGCCCAGACUACUACGGGAGGCAGCAGGGGGGAAUAUUGCGCAAUGGGGGAAACCCUGACGCAGCAACGCCGCGUGAUUGAAGAAGGCCUUCGGGUUGUAAAGAUCUUUAAUCAGGGACGAAACAAAUGACGGUACCUGAAGAAUAAGCUCCGGCUAACUACGUG
rnacentral:rRNA from 1 species